GCUGGGCGCAGUGGCUCGUGCCUGUAGUCCCAGCUAUUCAGGAGGCUGAGGCAGGAGGAUCUUCUGAGUCCAGGAGUUCUAGGCUGUAGUGCGCUAUGCCGAUCGGGCAUCUGCACUAAGUUCAACAUCAAUAUGGUGACCUCCCAGGAGCGAGGCACCACCAGGUUGCCUAAGGAGGGGUGAACCAGCCCAGGUUGGAAGCAGAGCAGGUCAAAACUCCCGUGCUGAUCAGUAGUGGGACUGUGCCUGUGAAUACCCACUGCACUCCAGCCUGGGCAACAUAGUGAAACCCAGUCUCU
rnacentral:SRP_RNA from 1 species